rnacentral:rRNA from 1 species
GACGAACGCUGGCGGCGUGCUUAAAACAUGCAAGUCGAACGGACUUCUCAUGAAGCUUGCGAUUGAGAAGUUAGUGGCGGACGGGUGAGUAACGCGUGGGCAACCUGCCCCUGAGCCCGGGAUAACAGUUCGAAAGGACUGCUAAGACCGGAUAUACUUGCGGUGAAGCAUUUCACUGCAAGGAAAGGGAACGCUCAGGGAUGGGGCCCGCGUCCCAUUAGCUAGUUGGUGAGGUAACGGCCCACCAAGGCGACGAUGGGUAGCCGGCCUGAGAGGGUGAACGGCCACACUGGGACUGAGACACGGCCCAGACUCCUACGGGAGGCAGCAGUUGGGAAUCUUCGGCAAUGGGCCAAGCCUGACCGAGCAACGCCGCGUGAGUGAUGAAGGUUUUCGGAUUGUAAAGCUCUGUCUUCCGGGACGAUAAUGACGGUACCGGAGGAGGAAGCCACGGCUAACUACGUG